rnacentral:misc_RNA from 1 species
CAAAACAAAGUUUCUCAAACUUUACACCCUUUGUGAACCAAAACCUGAACAGCUUCGGUAGCUGGUCCUGGUUAGCAAUAGCCUUGGCCGUCAGUCUGCCGGUGGCACCCAUAUUAAACUUGUUUUAAAACCAGUCUGAAUACAAACCAUUCUCGAAUGAAAAUUA